AGCUGCGUGGUGAGCACAGAGCGAACUAUUCUUUCGCCUUUUACUAAAGAAUACCGUGUGCGCGCCACAAUUAGCAGCAUACGCUAUUUUUUUGAGGGUGUCCUUCUAUCAAAGGAGGAC
rnacentral:snRNA from 2 species